UACGUAGGGAGCAAGCGUUGUCCGGAAUCAUUGGGCGUAAAGCGCGCGUAGGUGGCUUCGUAAGUCCGCUGUGAAAGUCAAAGGCUCAACCUUUGAAAGCCGGUGGAUACUGUGAAGCUAGAGUACGGAAGAGGCGAGUGGAAUUCCUGGUGUAGCGGCGGAAUGCGCAGAUAUCAGGAGGAACACCAAUAGCGAAGGCAGCUCGCUGGGACGUUACUGACACUGAGGCGUGAAAGCGUGGGGAGCAAACAGG
rnacentral:rRNA from 1 species